rnacentral:rRNA from 1 species
UACGAAGGGGGCUAGCGUUGUUCGGAAUUACUGGGCGUAAAGCGCACGUAGGCGGAAUGUUAAGUCAGGGGUGAAAUCCCGGGGCUCAACCCCGGAACUGCCUUUGAUACUGGGUAUCUUGAGUAUGGAAGAGGUGAGUGGAAUUCCGAGUGUAGAGGUGAAAUUCGUAGAUAUUCGGAGGAACACCAGUGGCGAAGGCGGCUCACUGGUCCAUUACUGACGCUGAGGUGCGAAAGCGUGGGGAGCAAACAGG